UACGUAGGUGGCAAGCGUUGUUCGGAAUUACUGGGCGUAAAGCGCGCGUAGGCGGCUUUGCAAGUCGGGUGUGAAAUCCCCAGGCUUAACCUGGGAACUGCAUUCGAGACUGCAUUGCUAGAGUAUGGGAGAGGGAAGUGGAAUUUCCGGUGUAGCGGUGAAAUGCGUAGAUAUCGGAAGGAACAUCAGUGGCGAAAGCGACUUCCUGGACCAAUACUGACGCUCAUGUGCGAAAGCGUGGGGAGCAAACAGG
rnacentral:rRNA from 1 species